rnacentral:rRNA from 1 species
AGAGUUUGAUCCUGGCUCAGGACGAACGCUGGCGGCGUGCUUAACACAUGCAAGUCGAACGAGAAUCUACUGAAAGAGUUUUCGGACAAUGGAAGUAGAGGAAAGUGGCGGACGGGUGAGUAACGCGUGAGGAACCUGCCUUGAAGAGGGGGACAACAGUUGGAAACGACUGCUAAUACCGCAUGAUGCAUAAGGGUCGCAUGAUUCUUAUGCCAAAGAUUUAUCGCUUCAAGAUGGCCUCGCGUCUGAUUAGCUAGUUGGCGGGGUAACGGCCCACCAAGGCGACGAUCAGUAGCCGGACUGAGAGGUUGAACGGCCACAUUGGGACUGAGAUACGGCCCAGACUCCUACGGGAGGCAGCAGUGGGGAAUAUUGGGCAAUGGGCGCAAGCCUGACCCAGCAACGCCGCGUGAAGGAAGAAGGCUUUCGGGUUGUAAACUUCUUUUAAGAGGGAAGAGCAGAAGACGGUACCUCUAGAAUAAGCCACGGCUAACUACGUGCCAGCAGCCGCGGUAAUACGUAGGUGGCAAGCGUUGUCCGGAUUUACUGGGUGUAAAGGGCGUGCAGCCGGGUCUGCAAGUCAGAUGUGAAAUCCAUGGGCUCAACCCAUGAACUGCAUUUGAAACUGUAGAUCUUGAGUGUCGGAGGGGCAAUCGGAAUUCCUAGUGUAGCGGUGAAAUGCGUAGAUAUUAGGAGGAACACCAGUGGCGAAGGCGGAUUGCUGGACGAUAACUGACGGUGAGGCGCGAAAGUGUGGGGAGCAAACAGGAUUAGAUACCCUGGUAGUCCACACUGUAAACGAUGAAUACUAGGUGUGCGGGGACUGACCCCCUGCGUGCCGCAGUAAACACAAUAAGUAUUCCACCUGGGGAGU